UUGAAUAUCAUGGUUAGUCUC
rnacentral:piRNA from 1 species